rnacentral:tRNA from 1 species
GGGGUUGUGGCUCAGUGGUGGAGCGCUUGCCUUGUAUGCAUGAGGUUCUGGGUUCAAUCCUCAGCACCA